AGGACCUGCUUUCAAGUGUCCUUGCUCACAUGCCUGAUGAGGUCAUGCUGGCUGUUGGAGGAGGUCUGUUUCUCACCACGGGGAUCUUCCCUUAGGGGUGCUCGAGUGCCCCUAUGACAUGACAUGACAUGACAGAUAACUUCCCCCUCGGGAAAUGAUCCACUUGCCAGCAAGGUAGAAGCUGCAAUGUCUUCAAUGACCUAAUCUUAAAAGUCACACACUAUCUCUUCUGCCACAUAGUAUUCUUUAGAAGCAGUUCAUGAAGUCUGGCCCACAAUCAAGUGAAGAUGAAGUAGGCUUCACCUUUUGAAAUGAUGUUUUCAAAGAAUUUUCAGAUAUAUUUUAAAACUAUGAUCAUCUGGUACACUUGUAGGCCCCCAAAUAAUAAAUCUUGAAUAAUUUCUAUAAACCUAGAAUUCUCUAACAAAAAUAAUUGUAUCUCCAACUUUGGCUAUGCUGGUAUCUAAAAGUGUAUCAUGACUUUUGUGUAUAUGAUAACCAUAUGAGCAAGUUGCUAUUUUCACCCUGAAUAGAUUAAUGAGUUCUUGGGAACUGAUGAUUUUGUAGUUUUUCAUUUAAAUACUUAUUAUGUUUUACAUUGCCCAGUGAGUCCUUCUAAAGUCUGACCCCCUUGCACUCUUUGCAAGUGAACUUCUAUUUUUCUUUUCUAGAUACCUCAUCUUGAGCAUUCCUUCAGCAAUGUUCGGAUAGGGCUUUCCACCCUCCAAACCUUUCAGCCAACCACACAGGAGGAAGUUGUACAGAAAUGGGGAAUGAGAUGGCCCUCACAAGAUCACAGAGCAGCAGGAGCACACAAAGCACCAUCUAGUUCAGAGACUCUUCUCCUUAUCACCUCAUUUAUCUUAGCAAAGGGAAAGUGGGAAUUGGAAUCGGAACCCACAGCAGAUUAUUUAUCAUUCACUGGGCAAAAUGUGAUGAGAAAGCCUUCCAAGUUCUCAUGACAAAGUUCUCAACAACUUUUGCUGACUUCAAAGUCAGGAAACUUUCCAAGAGUUACUAUCUAUUGUUUUAUAUCCCCGUUUCUCUACGUUUGGGGGAAUCCCAAAUACGAGUCAAUGGAGUCAGAAUUCAAAUUCCAAGCAUCCUAGCAACUAAGCUGAUGCAAAUGAUCCAGACCCCCCUCAAGAGUCCACUCUACAGACACGACAGACUUAGGUUCCAACCACGAAGUAGACAGGAGGAAAGAGGCUCUGCAUAGAGCUUUGAUUUCUGCUGGUACGGUGGUGCUGGAAGCCUCUGUUUCUCAGUGAUGGCAGCAACAGCAGGUGCUGAGUGUUUGCACAGUUGAGUGCCUGGCGCAGAAAUGACGCCAUGGAAUGGCAUCCGUGACAAAGAUGCCAGGUCCCUCGAUUGCUGGAUGAAGCAGCAGCAGUGGAAGCAGUUUCCUUUUCUGGCCCUUCCUGCAGCACUGUUUUUUGUCACUAUUCAACACUGGUCCAGCUAUCCUCAUGAUUCCCCAGCAACUCAGUCACCUUUUGUAAGUCAACCUGCACUUGCCUGCAGCUAAGGAUCCUAAAGAGCAUACUGAAGGUAUCACCUGGGUACAUUGCUGUCAUUUUUCACAAGGGAUCUAUCCUGCAAUAAGGUAAGCACCCAGGCUGCACCAGAGCUGCUCACUUAAUUUUCAUAGGCCAUUUACAAAAUUGAUUAAAGAACUCCAAAUUCUCUGGGUCAACGUGACAUCCUCUAUAGCAACAUCACAACUGGCACUUUCUAAUACUUUACUAAGUCCUAAAACAAUGCCCCAAAGCCUUGACUAAGAGCAUAAAAAGAGCGGCCAGGUGCUUUUUCUUCCCCAAAAGGAAGACAAGCCCUACCUUCAAGGCCAGAAUACACAAGCCUACAGUCCUACCAACAAAGAGAAGACUAUAAAUGUGACAAGAGACAAAGUGGGUCUGCCAGGACACCCAUGCAAGCAGAUUUUCAAAAUACUUAUACACUGGCAUAACUUGGGCACAUUCCAUACAUGCACACCAGCAGUUAUAACCCCUACACUCUCUCACUCUAUCUUACUUUAUGUUUAUGCUCUAUUCCUCUCUAGAUUGUAAACAUUACAGACAUAUUUUUAAAGAUAUAUUUUAAAAGGCAAGAAUCAUGUCCAUUUUAUGCACCUCCAAUCCUUGACAUAAAAUCUGACAUAUUUAGACAAUACAUCAUUGUAAAACAUAAGAAUAAAUGAAUAAAUGAUU